UGGGGAAUAUUGGACAAUGGGCGAAAGCCUGAUCCAGCAAUGCCGCGUGAGUGAUGAAGGCCUUAGGGUUGUAAAGCUCUUUUACCAGGGAUGAUAAUGACAGUACCUGGAGAAUAAGCUCCGGCUAACUCCGUGCCAGCAGCCGCGGUAAUACGGAGGGAGCUAGCGUUGUUCGGAAUUACUGGGCGUAAAGCGUACGUAGGCGGUUAUUCAAGUCAGAGGUGAAAGCCCGGGGCUCAACCCCGGAACGGCCUUUGAAACUAGAUAGCUAGAAUCUUGGAGAGGUCAGUGGAAUUCCGAGUGUAGAGGUGAAAUUCGUAGAUAUUCGGAAGAACACCAGUGGCGAAGGCGACUGACUGGACAAGUAUUGACGCUGAGGUACGAAAGCGUGGGGAGCAAACAGGAUUAGAUACCCCAGUAGUCCCUGAGCGGGCUGGCAAGGCGCAU
rnacentral:rRNA from 1 species